rnacentral:rRNA from 1 species
UGCUCCCUACGGGACGCAGCAGUGGGGAAUAUUGCACAAUGGGGGAAACCCUGAUGCAGCGACGCCGCGUGAGUGAAGAAGUAUUUCGGUAUGUAAAGCUCUAUCAGCAGGGAAGAUAAUGACGGUACCUGACUAAGAAGCCCCGGCUAACUACGUGCCAGCAGCCGCGGUAAUACGUAGGUGGCAAGCGUUGUCCGGAUUUACUGGGUGUAAAGGGCGUGCAGCCGGGCCGACAAGUCAGAUGUGAAAUCCGCGGGCUUAACCCGCGAACUGCAUUUGAAACUAUUGGUCUUGAGUACCGGAGG